rnacentral:tRNA from 3 species
UAAGGAGUAGUACAAAGGAAGUACAGAGAGUUUUGAUCUCUCAGAUAUAGGUUCGAUUCCUAUUUUUUUAA